CGAGUGGCGGACGGGUGAGUAAUGUCUGGGAAACUGCCCGAUGGAGGGGGAUAACUACUGGAAACGGUAGCUAAUACCGCAUAACGUCGCAAGACCAAAGAGGGGGACCUUCGGGCCUCUUACCAUCGGAUGUGCCCAGAUGGGAUUAGCUAGUAGGUGGGGUAAAGGCUCACCUAGGCGACGAUCCCUAGCUGGUCUGAGAGGAUGACCAGCCACACUGGAACUGAGACACGGUCCAG
rnacentral:rRNA from 1 species